CAGUCUUCAAAAUUACUUUAUUGUACCAAAAUAAAGUCGUUAGAGAGUUAGUACGAUCUCGCGGAAAUCGCUCAAUAUGAAAUCGUAAUACAUUAUCAUCAUCAUCAUCAUCGUCAUCUGCAUCAUUAUCAUCAUCUGUGUGGUACAGCGUGUAGUUAGGACCAUGUCGUGUCCCCUCGGAGAUUAAUUCGAGCGGUCAUAUUCACUUUUGGGGAAGAGAGAGAGAGAGAGAGAGAGAGAGAGAGAGAGAGAGAGAGAGAGAGAAGAUAGGAGAAAAAGGGGAGGUGGGUAGAGCAAGAGAUUAGAAAGAGGUAGAAAGAGAUACAGGGCGAGGAAGGGUGGGAAGGAGGGAGGGAAAGAGAGAGAAGAGACGGUUCAUCUUAACAUUCCCCUGAGUUUGAUUUCAAUAUGAACGUCUCUAUGCGCCAAACAUAGAGCGAAAACAGUUUCCGGAAAAUAGAUAUAAUGUAGGAGAAAAGGAAUAUCGAUGAAUAUAUAAAGAAGUAGACGUAUCAGACUUGUGAUUUUAUGUACAACUUGAAGAUUCAUCGUCAACAAAGUUUAGCGUCCUCUCGCCCAUCGUAGUAUGGCGUCCGCUAAUACGUCCAGAUGCGCUUUCGUCUGAAACAUAUAGAAAUAGCACUGUAUUCUUGAGACUGGGUAUUCGCGAAGGAGAACAAACGAGUGAAACAAGUGUCAUUUCUGCACAGGAAGAGAAUUUUACAGUAAAAAUUACUACUUUUGUAACUAAAAAAUAGAUCGUUAUUUUCUGCAGUAAUUUACUAUACUUUUAUUUUUCCCAUGUGCUAUUUAUAUUUUAGGAACUAAAAUGUAACUAUUAAAGAAUUUGCAAUGUUUCGAGCGAAAUGUACUAUGCUCCUUAGCAAGAUAGAUCUUGCUAUUCGUGUACUAUUAAAAGAAUUUAUAUGAAAAAAAAACUAUAAUAUAUAUUCUCUCAGUGUUGGACACGCUCUUUUCUCUUACAUGCUGUUUUCUCGACAACUAUCAACUUAAAUAGCACUCUUUUCUUUAUUCUCUAGCAUCUAAAAUCCUUUUUCUGAAAAACCACUGAAAUCAUCCAGAACGGAUGUGACGGUUGUAAAGUGGAUAUUCCACUUUAGUCUCAGGGUAUACUGUGAAUAUCUUGAAGAAAAGUAAAUAAUCCAAUACAACAAAACAUGCUGAGAAUAUCAUGUAAGAUACUUUCAGAUUUUUUAUAGGAUACAUUGCAAAUAUUUCUUGUACGUUUCAACAUUCUAAAAGUGAAAUAAAAAUUACAUGAGUUUUGUUA